rnacentral:lncRNA from 1 species
AAAACCCAUUCCAUGAAAUAAGUGGUAUUACCUGUUAAACGCUAACAGCAAUAUUCUUGUUUCUGACAUUACCAGCUGGCAGAAACCACAGUGACCUUUUAAAAUCUAAACCCAGAGGGAAUAAUUCUGAGACUGAGUCAUCAACUUUGGAAUACAUGCCAUAUCUGGAUUCAAAUACCAGUUUCUGGCUCUGACUCUGCUCUCCAUUGUUGAGAAGAAAUGUCAUGGAGGUCUUUGCAGUUUUUCACAGGAAAUGCAGGAGUCACUGGUUUAGUAUAAUGACUAGCCCAAAUAACAAAUACAGUGGUGCAUUUGGUACUGGAUUUUCACAAGGUAUUUCACAACAGCAGUAUACAACCCUUGCACAAGGCCUUUGUAUCAGUGAGGAACUGCAAAUAACCUGUGACUAA